rnacentral:rRNA from 1 species
CCUACGGGAGGCAGCAGUGAGGAAUAUUGGUCAAUGGACGAGAGUCUGAACCAGCCAAGUAGCGUGAAGGAUGACUGCCCUAUGGGUUGUAAACUUCUUUUAUAUGGGAAUAAACUGUUCCACGUGUGGGAUUUUGUAUGUACCCUAUGAAUAAGGAUCGGCUAACUCCGUGCCAGCAGCCGCGGUAAUACGGAGGAUCCGAGCGUUAUCCGGAUUUAUUGGGUUUAAAGGGAGCGUAGGUGGAUUGUUAAGUCAGUUGUGAAAGUUUGCGGCUCAACCGUAAAAUUGCAGUUGAAACUGGCAGUCUUGAGUACAGUAGAGGUGGGCGGAAUGCGUGGUGUAGCGGUGAAAUGCUUAGAUAUCACGAAGAACUCCGAUUGCGAAGGCAGUUCACUGGACUGCAACUGACACUGAGGCUCGAAAGUGUGGGUAUCAAACAGGAUUAGAUACCCCAGUAGUC